AUUGAACGCUGGCGGCAGGCCUAACACAUGCAAGUCGAGCGGAGCGGCGGACGGGUGAGUAAUGCCUAGGAAUCUGCCUGGUAGUGGGGGAUAACGUCCGGAAACGGGCGCUAAUACCGCAUACUCUCAGAUGAGCCUAGGUCGGAUUAGCUAGUUGGUGGGGUAAAGGCCUACCAAGGCGACGAUCCGUAACUGGUCUGAGAGGAUGAUCAGUCACACUGGAAGGGAGACAGGGUCCAGACGCCUACGGGAGGCAGCAGUGGGGAAUAGUGGGGAAGGGGUGAAAGCCUGAGCCAGCCAGGCCGCGUGUGUGAAGAAGGUCUUCGGAUUGUAAAGCACUUUAAGUUGGGAGGCGGUACCAACAGAAUAAGCACCGGCUAACUUCGUGCCAGCAGCCGCGGUAAUAC
rnacentral:rRNA from 1 species